GUGAGAAGGAUUACUUUAUCCUAUCCUAGGUAUUCCUUAAAGAGGUGGGGUUUCAUUACUGCACCUCAGCUUUACCUUAAGGGGACUAGAAACAGAGAUGGAAGUAUUACCAUGGAAAUAAGACUACUGUUGACUCCAGAUAUGUGGUCUUGGUUAUAUUGCUGCUCUUAUUGUUACUCAUACAAUGUUAAAAAACAACAACAACAACAACAGGUUCGUAUUCAUAGUAAACACAUUUUCACCAAACUAGGGUUUCGUCAGUUCUGCUAAAAUAUGGCAAAAAAAAAUGACAAUUGACAGUUAAGUUUAAUGUAAGUCUUCUGUUUACUUUUCUCUUUCUUUCCAUACCAGCUAGGCUCUGGCUGGCAGGACAGAGAAACUCUUUUUGUCCCUAUUCUCUUUCCAUACCAGCUCAACUCUGUUCAGCUCUGUUGGGCAGGACAGAGUAACUAUUUCUGUCCCUAUUCUCUUUCCAUACCAGCUCAACUCUGUUCAGCUCUGUUGGGCAGGACAGAGUAACUCUUUCUGUCCCUAUUCUCUUUCCAUACCAGCUCAACUCUGUUCAGCUCUGUUGGUCAGGACAGAGUAACUAUUUCUGUCCCUAUUCUCUUUCCAUACCAGCUCAACUCUGUUCAGCUCUGUUGGUCAGGACAGAGUAACUAUUUCUGUCCCUAUUCUCUUUCCAUACCAGCUCAACUCUGUUCAGCUCUGUUGGGCAGGACAGAGUAACUAUUUCUGUCCCUAUUCUCUUUCCAUACCAGCUCAACUCUGUUCAGCUAUGUUGGGCAGGACAGAGUAACUCUUUCUGUCCCUAUUCUCUUUCCAUACCAGCUAGGCUCUGUUGGGCAGGACAGAAACUCUUUUUGUCCCUAUUCUCUUUCCAUACCAGCUAGGCUCUGUUGGGCAGGACAGAGAAACUCUUUUUGUCCCUAUUCUCUUUCCAUAUGAUCUCAGAUCUGUUGGGCAGGACAGAGAAACUCUUUUUGUCCCUAUUCUCUUUCCAUAUGAUCUCAGCUCUGUUGGGCAGGACAGAGAAACUCUUUUUGUCCCUAUUCUCUUUCCAUACCAGCUUGGCUCUGUUGGGCAGGACAGAGAAACUCUUUUUGUCCCUAUUCUCUUUCCAUAUGAUCUCAGCUCUGUUGGGCAGGACAGAGAAACUCUUUUUGUCCCUAUUCUCUUUCCAUAUGAUCUCAGCUCUGUUGGGCAGGACAGAGAAACUCUUUUUGUCCCUAUUCUCUUUCCAUAUGAUCUCAGCUCUGUUGGGCAGGACAGAGAAACUCUUUUUGUCCCUAUUCUCUUUCCAUAUGAUCUCAGCUCUGUUGGGCAGGACAGAGUAACUCUUUCUGAGUCUUGACAUAAUUUAAUCUCCAUGUUCCUCAUUGAUAAGUCCUGAGAUGUCAACACACACACUUUACAUCCCACGUGGCACCCUAUUCCCUACAUAGUGCACUACUUUUGAUCAGGACCCUAUGGGCUCUCGUCAAUAGUAGUGCGCUAUAAAAAGAACAGGGUGCCAUGGGAGGAUGCACCUACAGCUGGGCUACAAGAGAGAAGGGUUGGAAUUGAUCUGAUAAAACCACUUCCCAAAGUAGCUGUCAAGGAAUCUACAGUAACUAUGAAGGUAUCUACAGUAACUAUGAAGGUAUCUACAGUAACUAUGAAGGUAUCUACAGUAACUAUGAAGGUAUCUACAGUAACUAUGAAGGUAUCUACAGUAACUAUGAAGGUAUCUACAGUAACUAUGAAGGUAUCUACAGUAACUAUGAAGGUAUCUACAGUAACUAUGAAGGUAUCUACAGUAACUAUGAAGGUAUCUACAGUAACUAUGAAGGUAUCUACAGUAACUAUGAAGGUAUCUACAGUAACUAUGAAGGUAUCUACAGUAGCCCUGAAGGUAUCUACAGUAACUAUGAAGGUAUCUACAGUAACUAUGAAGGUAUCUACAGUAGCCCUGAAGGUAUCUACAGUAACUAUGAAGGUAUCUACAGUAGCCCUGAAGGUAUCUACAGUAGCCCUGAAGGUAUCUACAGUAGCCCUGAAGGUAUCUACAGUAACUAUGAAGGUAUCUACAGUAGCCCUGAAGGUAUCUACAGUAACUAUGAAGGUAUCUACAGUAGCCCUGAAGGUAUCUACAGUAGCCCUGAAGGUAUCUACAGUAGCCCUGAAGGUAUCUACAGUAGCCCUGAAGGUAUCUACAGUAACUAUGAAGGUAUCUACAGUAGCUAUGAAGGUAUCUACAGUAACUAUGAAUGUGUGAAGGUAUCUACAAUAGCUAUGAAGGUAUCUACAGUAACUAUGAAGGUAUUUACAGUAGCUAUGAAGGCAUCUACAGUAGCUAUGAAGGCAUCUACAGUAGCUAUGAAGGCAUCUACAGUAACUAUGAAGGCAUCUACAGUAACUGUGAAGGUAUCUACAGUAACUAUGAAGGUAUCUACAGUAACUCUAUUAAAGUAUCUACAGUAGCUCUGAAGGUAUCUACAGUAACUAUGAAGGUAUCUACAGUAACUAUGAAGGUAUCUACAGUAACUAUGAAGGUAUCUACAGUAACUAUGAAGGUAACUACAGUAACUAUAAAGGUAUCUACGGUAACUACGAAGGUAUCUAUGGUAGCUAUAAAGGUACCUACAGUAGCUACGUCCUCCCAAAUUUAACCUUGAUUCAUCUCUAAAGUCUAAUGAUUUUUCUUUGUAUUAAUAUGGGAUAUAUUUAAAUAUUUAACUACAUGAUUAUUUAUUUCUGCGUGUAUUUAUUUACAAAUACAUUUAUAUUUCUGAAGUAGUUACAGUGCAACUUCUGCACACAGCACUUUUUAAGUUUUGAUAACAUGACCUAUGACCCAUGACCUCUACCCCCUACCCCUUCUUACUGUGGUCAGUUGUGAAUAGUGCUAACCCCCCCCACCCCACAAAAAAACUAUACAAAUUGAUACAGGGUCAUCUUCUAUGUGCUAUAGUAUAGCACCUACAUGUUACUUGAAUCAAACCAUCAACAUCACAUAGAUUUUGAAGUGUUGUACCUGAGCUAUUUGCAACCCGAUUUCACUCACAAUACAAUAUUUUAAGAGAGAGAGAGAGAGAGAGAAAGAAAGAUUGUGAACAUAAUGGAAAUGAAUUAUACUUCAAACCUGGGAGAUGGGAAACAGAUGGGUGCGUGGACAGAACGAUCCCGAUCCCUUACAUCGUGAACAGAACGAGGGAAAAUGAAAACGAGCUGUUUGUAGCGCUCUAGGGAUAAGAAAAGAAACAAGGUUUCUGAACAAGGAUUUGUACAUAUCCUCUGGUCAAACAGUAUAUCUGCAGGUCCCUCAGUUGCUUUGGAUCUACUUCAUCAUGUCCCAAAUGAUUCCAUAUUCCCUGUGUAGUGCACUACUUUUGACCAGAGUCCUAUGGACUCUUGUUAAAAGUAGUGCACCUACAUAGGGACUAGGGUUCUAUUUUGUGACUCUGUCUUCAUCACGCGGCUGUUUUUGUCCAGCUAAUCAUCAUCUAUUUAUCUACACAGUAGGCUAAUAUACAGUGAGCUGCAAAACUAUUGGUACAGUGGACAUUUUGUUUUCUUCUGUUGUUGUUUUAGCUCUGUACUCCAGCACAUUGGAUUUGAAAUCAUAAAGUGAAUUUAUCCCAAUACUUUUGGUCCCCUAAAACGGAGGAACUAUGAA